rnacentral:lncRNA from 1 species
UUAAAAAAAAACUAAUAUUAAACAAAAAAAAAAAAAAAUAUGUAUUUAUUUACACACAUGUGUGUUAAAAUAGGCAUACCAUACAUACUUGUAUUUCUGAUCGUGUUUAUUACUCUGUUCCUCAAUUUGUUACUAGAAAUUGUUCAUUAUUACAUAUUCCUAAACAUCGUACUAACAAAUUCAAAAAUUCAUUUCUCAUCAGAGUUGCUACUAACUGUAAUAAUUUUGUUGAUUGAUAACAUUCCUGUCGUUGUUCUUUUUUGUAUUUUUCUUGUUUGCCACGGCUCUUCGUGUACUCUUUCAGUGGCGUAGCUAGAGUUUUGUGGGACCUGAUGCAGAAAAAUGGACCCCCGGGAAAAUUUUAUUCUGUUUACAGCUAAAACAAUAGUACUUGCAUCGAUGAAGCUAUGAAUAAAAAUUCAUUUUUUAUUAAUAACUUACUUAGCUAAAAUAAUUUUUUAUUUUCUUGCUUUUUGCCUUCUCAAAACUUUGAUCGAUAAUUUCUUUUAUGUAAAUUUUCUUUACUGGAUUCUUUCUUUAAAACAUGGACCCCUUCCAGUUUGGGCCCUGGUGCGGUGAUACCUCUUGCACCAUUGUAGUUACACCGCUGUAAUCUUUGUGUAUUAUUAGAAAUUGAGCGUAAAUAAACAAAUAAAAGGUAAUUUCCCGAAUAUAAAUUCGUAGAGAUUCAUAGAAAUUUGUAGACCGCGUUGUAUAAGUACCGCGUUAUACAACGGUUUACUGUAAUUAUAUAUUAAAAUUCUCGC